rnacentral:rRNA from 1 species
UACGUAGGGGGCGAGCGUUGUCCGGAAUCAUUGGGCGUAAAGCGCGUGUAGGCGGCUCGGUAAGUCUGCUGUGAAAGUCCAGGGCUCAACCCUGGAAUGCCGGUGGAUACUGUCGAGCUUGAGUCCGGAAGAGGCGAGUGGAAUUCCUGGUGUAGCGGUGAAAUGCGCAGAUAUCAGGAGGAACACCAAUGGCGAAGGCAGCUCGCUGGGACGUGACUGACGCUGAGGCACGAAAGCGUGGGGAGCAAACAGG